UGUUUGAAUGCGUGUAACUUAAAUUAACCUUGUGGACCUUUGCUCAGCUCCGCUCGGCUCUGCCCGAUGAGCUCCAUCCAGGCUCCGCUUGCCGGUGGAAAAGGCUCCUUAGAAGCCGGCAAUGAGCCCCAUCCCCACGCGGUGCCAGUGUGCCUUCCGCUCACCCCUUGGAGGGGUGAUGAAGGCCUGCACCUGGUCCCCUCCCCAACUCUGCUCUGCUCCUGAAGGCAUAAAUCUAAGAAGAAGGCCUUUACCAAGUACUGCAAGAAAUGGCAGGAUGAGGAUGGCAAGAAGCAGCUGGAGAAGGACUUCAGCAGCAUGAAGAAGUACUGCCAAGUCAUCCGUGUCAUUGCCCACACCCAGAUGCGCCUGCUUCCUCUGCGCCAGAAGAAGGCCCACCUGAUGGAGAUCCAGGUGAACGGAGGCACCGUGGCUGAGAAGCUGGACUGGGCCCGCGAGAGGCUUGAGCAGCAGGUACCUGUGAACCAAGUGUUUGGGCAGGAUGAGAUGAUCGACGUCAUCGGGGUGACCAAGGGCAAAGGCUACAAAGGUGAGCU
rnacentral:sRNA from 1 species